rnacentral:rRNA from 1 species
GAUGAACGCUGGCGGCGUGCUUAACACAUGCAAGUCGAACGGUGAACACGGAGCUUGCUCUGUGGGAUCAGUGGCGAACGGGUGAGUAACACGUGAGCAACCUGCCCCUGACUCUGGGAUAAGCGCUGGAAACGGCGUCUAAUACUGGAUAUGUGACGUGACCGCAUGGUCUGCGUUUGGAAAGAUUUUUCGGUUGGGGAUGGGCUCGCGGCCUAUCAGCUUGUUGGUGAGGUAAUGGCUCACCAAGGCGUCGACGGGUAGCCGGCCUGAGAGGGUGACCGGCCACACUGGGACUGCGACACGGCCCAGACUCCUACGGGAGGCAGCAGUGGGGAAUAUUGCACAAUGGGCGCAAGCCUGAUGCAGCAACGCCGCGUGAGGGAUGACGGCCUUCGGGUUGUAAACCUCUUUUAGCAGGGAAGAAGCGAAAGUGACGGUACCUGCAGAAAAAGCGCCGGCUAACUACGUG